CGGGAACGCGACACCAUGAGUAGAGAUGCUGACCCUCACAAGGGAGACUGUGACCUGCACCGUGACACGGCAGCCCACAAGCAGGAGGGGAGCAUUUUCUUCGCCAGGUAAGCCAGGAAGGUGUCCUCAAGGAAGUGACAACUGGGCCACCUCCGGAAGAUCAAGUGGACUCCAAAUAUUCUCUCUGAGAGGACCGAAACAGCAUGAGCCAAAGCUUGAAGGCAAAAAGAUGCUCGCCCAGCACCAUUUAUAACCAUCUACUCUGUGUCCAACUAGCCCUGUUUUCAUUAAUCAAUGGGCAUGGAGACGACUGUCAUCACCUCUCCGGAUUAUGACUUAUCGGCCUCAUGCAGGCUCCUCUCCCCCGGACCGCAAAUCAGGUCCUUCCUUGCACUCUGGAUGUUAUGGGACCGAGAUCUCCACCAGGCUCUUACAAGAGGAAGAUCGCAAGAGUCAAAGGAGCUCCAGGGAGACCAGGGCAGGAAGGCACCUGGGCAGGAUCCUGGUACUCACAAGGUCCACUCUGUAGAACAUGAAGAUGUCUGCAGGCAGGAGCUGCAUGAAGGAUGGAUGAACAUCUCGGUAAUGGGGUACUGCAGCUGCAGGAAAGUGGCAGAGGCAGCGGCACAAGUUCACGAUGAUAAAUGA
ensembl:lincRNA